CUAACCCGCCUCCUAGCCACGCGCUGCCGCUGGCCGUCCGCCCGCCCCACCCUACCCACGCGUUGCCGCCGCCGUCCGACCGCCCCACCCUACACACGCACCUCCGUCGCGAACCCCGCUGCCUCCUCAAUCGCACGCCGAUGCCCUCUCCUUCCGCUCCGGCUGCCGCCUUCUCCUUGCGCUCCGGCCUGUAACAACGGCCUUCUCUCUCCCAGCCCUCCGGCCUUCUCUCUCCAAACGCUCUGGCCUUCUCUCUCCCAGCGCUCCGGCCUUCUCUCUCCCAGCGCUCCGGCCCUCUCUCUCCCAGCGCUCCGACCCUCUCCCUUCCCGCGCUCCGGCCUCCUCCCUCUCCCGAGCUCCGGCCUCCUCUCUCCCCGCGCUCAGUCCAAAGGGUGGUGAAGAUGCAGUCUUGGGGUACGUCCAACGAUAAUGAAUAGGCGGCAAGUGUACUGGUGAGCAGCAGGACGGAGGCAUGAGGCAGUUGAGUAGGCCGUUCAUUACCUCCACCCCGAGGUCGUUCGACGAUGCAGUGCUCAAGCCGUUGACCCUUACCACCACAAGCUGUUCACCUCUGCCACACGAGGCAGUGCGACGACCCAGCAAUCAGGCGGUUCACCUCUGCCACCACAAACCGUUCAUCUCAGCCAUAGGAGGCCGAUGCAGCACUAAGGAUGUUGUGUUCUUUUUCAGUACAUGUUUUGUGUGCUUAUCAGUUAACCAACUUAACGAUUAUAUGUCCAAUUUCCCCUUGGUUUACAUGUUCUUCCUAUAGCACAACAGGUGUUGUGUGUCAUGCCUUAAUAAGCAUUUGAUAAAACCUUGUAUGGAUCGAAACUAGCAUAUGUUAUGUUCUAUUCUUGUAAAUGAAGCUCCUUCUGUUUUGUUUGAAGUUACUUGGCAUAAAAAAUUGUACAUG